UACGUAGGGUGCAAGCGUUAAUCGGAAUUACUGGGCGUAAAGCGUGCGCAGGCGGCUUAGUAAGUCGGGUGUGAAAACCCCAGGCUCAACCUGGGGACGCCACCCGAUACUGCUAUAGCUAGAGUCCAGUAGGGGAGUGUGGAAUUCCCAGUGUAGAGGUGAAAUUCGUAGAUAUUGGGAAGAACACCGGUGGCGAAGGCGGCGACCUGGGUCGAGACUGACGCUGAGGCGCGAAAGCGUGGGGAGCAAACAGG
rnacentral:rRNA from 1 species